rnacentral:rRNA from 1 species
CGGUUGAUCCUGCCGGACCUGACUGCUAUCGGAUUGAUACUAAGCCAUGCUAGUCUUUGUAGUAAUACAAGGCAUACGGCUCAGUAACGCGUAGUCAACCUACCCUAUGGACGGGGAUAAUCUCGGGAAACUGAGCAUAAUACCCGGUAGACCACUUAUCCUGGAAUGGUUAGUGGUUAAAAUGAUUCGUCGCCAUAGGAUGGGACUGCGGCCUAUCAGCUUGUUGGUGAGGUAAUGGCCCACCAAGGCGAUUACAGGUACGGGCUCUGAGAGGAGAAGCCCGGAGAUGGGUACUGAGACAAGGACCCAGGCCCUAUGGGGCGCAGCAGGCGAGAAAACUUUGCAAUGUGCGAAAGCACGACAAGGUUAAUCCGAGUGAUUUCUGCUAAAGGAAUCUUUUGUUAGUUCUAAAAAUACUAGUGAAUAAGGGGUGGGCAAGUUCUGGUGUCAGCCGCCGCGGUAAAACCAGCACCUCAAGUGGUCAGGAGGAUUAUUGGGCCUAAAGCAUCCGUAGCCUGUUCUAUAAGUUUGCGGUUAAAUCUAUACGCUCAACGUAUAGGCUGCCGUAAAUACUGUAGAACUAGGGAGUGGGAGAGGUAGACGGUACUCGAUAGGAAGGGGUAAAAUCCUUUGAUCUAUUGAUGACCACCUGUGGCGAAGGCGGUCUACCAGAACACGUUCGACGGUGAGGGAUGAAAGCUGGGGGAGCAAACCGGAUUAGAUACCCGGGUAGUCCCAGCUGUAAACGAUGCAGACUCGAUGAUGCAAUGGCAUAGAGCUAUUGCAGUAUCGCAGGGAAGCCGUUAAGUCUGCCGCCUGGGAAGUACGUACGCAAGUAUGAAACUUAAAGGAAUUGGCGGGGGAGCACCACAAGGGGUGAAGCCUGCGGUUCAAUUGGAUUCAACGCCGGG